UGGGGAAUAUUGGGCAAUGGAGGAAACUCUGACCCAGCGACGCCGCGUGCGGGAUGAAGGCCUUCGGGUUGUAAACCGCUUUCAGCAGGGAAGAAGCGAAAGUGACGGUACCUGCAGAAGAAGCACCGGCUAACUAUGUGCCAGCAGCCGCGGUAAUA
rnacentral:rRNA from 1 species